UUUACUUUUACUUUCACUUUUCCAAAAUCAUUGUUUUAUGGAAACACCUAUUUGAGAGAGAGAGAGAGACCAUCAUAACGAUUUGUUAGAAUACUCUAUGUGCUUCACUUGUAUAUUUUGAGCUUAUAGUUGCUCUAGUACUUCACUUAUAUCUUUUUUAGCACGAUGGCACGUAGAUUUUAUAGAAAUAAUAUGCUCUCAUUCUUCAC
rnacentral:lncRNA from 1 species